rnacentral:rRNA from 1 species
GUCCACGCCGUAAACGAUGAUAACUAGCUGUCCGGGCACUUGGUGCUUGGGUGGCGCAGCUAACGCAUUAAGUUAUCCGCCUGGGGAGUACGGCCGCAAGGUUAAAACUCAAAGAAAUUGACGGGGCCUGCACAAGCGGUGGAGCAUGUGGUUUAAUUCGAAGCAACGCGCAGAACCUUACCAACGUUUGACAUCCCCAGUAUGGAUACCAGAGAUGGUUUCCUUCAGUUCGGCUGGCUGGGUGACAGGUGCUGCAUGGCUGUCGU